rnacentral:snRNA from 1 species
AUCGCUUCUCGGCCUUUUGGCUAAGAUCAAGUGUAGUAAAUCUUGCCCCAUUAAUAAUUUUUUAAACUUUCAGAAAAUUAAAACUGAAAGAGCACCUUCU